ACAGAGGGUGCAAACGUUGUUCGGAAUUACUGGGCGUAAAGCGUGUGUAGGCGGCUUUGCAAGUCAGGUGUGAAAUCCCCGGGCUCAACCUGGGAAGUGCACUUGAAACUGCUGAGCUUGAGUAUCGGAGAGGUUGGUGGAAUUCUCGGUGGAGAGGUGAAAUUCGUAGAUAUCGAGGGGAACACCAGUGGCGAAGGCGGCCAACUGGACGAAUACUGACGCUGAGACACGAAAGCGUGGGGAGCAAACAGGA
rnacentral:rRNA from 1 species